UGGGGGAUAUUGCACAAUGGGCGAAAGCCUGAUGCAGCGACGCCGCGUGGGGGAUGAAGGCCUUCGGGUUGUAAACUUCUUUUGCUCUGAACAAGGCAUGCCUUUGGGGUGUGUUGAGUGUAGGGGUUGAUUAGCGCCGGCUAACUACGUGCCAGCAGCCGCGGUAAUACGUAGGGCGCGAGCGUUGUCCGGAAUUAUUGGGCGUAAAGGGCUUGUAGGUGGCUGGUUGCGUCUGUCGUGAAAGCUCAUGGCUUAACUGUGGGUUUGCGGUGGUUACGGGCUGGCUUGAGUGCAGUAGGGGAGGCUGGAAUUCCUGGUGUAGCGGUGGAAUGCGCAGAUAUCAGGAGGAAUACCGGUGGCGAAGGCGGGUCUCUGGGCUGUUACUGACGCUGAGGAGCGAAAGCGUGGGGAGCGAACAGG
rnacentral:rRNA from 1 species